GAGGUGUGGUGUGUGUAUAGAGGUUUGGUGGGUGUAGAGCUGUAUAUAGAGGUGUGGUGGGUGUAGAGGUGUAUAGAGGUGUGGUGGGUGUAGAGGUGUAUAUAGGUGUGGUGGGUGUAGAGGUGUAUUGUGGUGUGGUGGGUGUAGAGGUGUAUUGUGGUGUGGUGGGUGUAGAGGUGUAUUGUGGUGUGGAGGGUGUAGAGGUGUAUUGUGGUGUGGUGGGUGUAGAGGUGUAUUGUGGUGUGGUGGGUUUAGAGCUGUAUAUAGAGGUGUGGUGGUGUAGAGCUGUAUAUAGAGGUGUGGUGGGUGUAUAGAGGUGUAUAGAGGUGUGGUGGGUGUAGAGCUGUAUAUAGAGGUGUGGUGGGUGUAGAGCUGUAUAUAGAGGUGUGGUGGGUGUAGAGCUGUAUAUAGAGGUGUGGUGUGUGUAUAGAGGUUUGGUGGGUGUAGAGCUGUAUAUAGAGGUGUGGUGGGUGUAGAGGUGUAUAGAGGUGUGGUGGGUGUAGAGCUGUAUAUAGAGGUGUGGUGUGUGUAUAGAGGUUUGGUGGGUGUAGAGCUGUAUAUAGAGGUGUGGUGGGUGUAGAGGUGUAUUGUGGUGUGGUGGGUGUAGAGGUGUAUUGUGGUGUGGUGGGUGUAGAGCUGUAUAGAGGUGUGGUGGGUGUAGAGAGGUGUGGUGGGUGUAGAGGUGUAUUGUGGUGUGGUGGGUGUAGAGGUGUAUUGUGG
rnacentral:lncRNA from 1 species